CCCAAAACCAGUUCCACAGAGUCUAUCCUGGAGAUAAUUGGGAAGUAAUCCAAUUAUCUCCAAGGACAGAGGCAAAACUCCAUUGAACACAUGGCAGCAAAAGACAAUAAAACAGAUAAAAACAUAACUGUGCAGCCAUUGCACAAAACAGGUACAUGCAACAUAUCCCCAGAUAGCUCAGAUCUGAGCGCACAUUAUUACUGAAUGGCGCUCAGAGCACACACAUACAGUUCAAUU